CGGUGUUCAACUGGCGUGUCCGCGGGACGUCCUGCCGGUGGGCUUAGCCCGCAAGGGCGGCCCAACUUCAAAUCCCAUCGCGGUGCUCUUCACUGAGUGUCGAGGUGGGCCGGCACGUUUACUUUGAACAAAUUAGAGUGCUUAAAGCAGGCUAAAACUUCGCCUGAAUACUGUGUGCAUGGAAUAAUGGAAUAGGACCUCGGUUCUAUUUUGUUGGUUUUCGGAACCCCGAGGUAAUGAUUAAUAGGAACGGAUGGGGGCAUUCGUAUUGCGACGUUAGAGGUGAAAUUCUUGGAUCGUCGCAAGACGGACAGAAGCGAAAGCAUUUGCCAAAAACGCUUUCAUUGAUCAAGAACGAAAGUUAGAGGUUCGAAGGCGAUCAGAUACCGCCCUAGUUCUAACCAUAAACGAUGCCAGCUAGCGAUCCGUCGACGUUCCUCCGAUGACUCGACGGGCAGCUUCCGGGAAACCAAAGCUUUUGGGUUCCGGGGGAAGUAUGGUUGCAAAGCUGAAACUUAAAGGAAUUGACGGAAGGGCACCACCAGGAGUGGAGCCUGCGGCUUAAUUUGACUCAACACGGGAAACCUCACCAGGCCCGGACACCGGAAGGAUUGACAGAUUGAGAGCUCUUUCUUGAUUCGGUGGGUGGUGGUGCAUGGCCGUUCUUAGUUGGUGGAGCGAUUUGUCUGGUUAAUUUCGAUAACGAACGAGACUCUAGCCUGCUAACUAGGCGUAUUUUCGACAUCUCAAAGGUCCGUCGUCCCGGCCCUCGGGUCGUGGGCGUGCGCGAUUUUUACUGUCGGCGUACUAUCAAUUCUUCUUAGAGGGACAGGUGGCUUCUAGCCGCACGAGAUUGAGCAAUAACAGGUCUGUGAUG
rnacentral:rRNA from 1 species